rnacentral:rRNA from 1 species
GAUGAACGCUGGCGGCGUGCCUAAUACAUGCAAGUCGAGCGAACGGACGAGAAGCUUGCUUCUCUGAUGUUAGCGGCGGACGGGUGAGUAACACGUGGAUAACCUACCUAUAAGACUGGGAUAACUUCGGGAAACCGGAGCUAAUACCGGAUAAUAUUUUGAACCGCAUGGUUCAAAAGUGAAAGACGGUCUUGCUGUCACUUAUAGAUGGAUCCGCGCUGCAUUAGCUAGUUGGUAAGGUAACGGCUUACCAAGGCAACGAUGCAUAGCCGACCUGAGAGGGUGAUCGGCCACACUGGAACUGAGACACGGUCCAGACUCCUACGGGAGGCAGCAGUAGGGAAUCUUCCGCAAUGGGCGAAAGCCUGACGGAGCAACACCGCGUGAGUGAUGAAGGUCUUCGGAUCGUAAAACUCUGUUAUUAGGGAAGAACAUAUGUGUAAGUAACUGUGCACAUCCUGACGGUACCUAAUCAGAAAGCCACGGCUAACUACGUG